UGGGGAAUCUUCCGCAAUGGGCGAAAGCCUGACGGAGCAACGCCGCGUGGGGGACGAAGGCCUUCGGGUCGUAAACCCCUGUCAGAGGGAAAGAAGGGCGUCGGCGUUAACAGCGCUGGCGCUUGACGGUACUCUCAAAGGAAGCCACGGCCAACUCCGUGCCAGCAGCCGCGGUAAUACGGGGGUGGCAAGCGUUGUUCGGAAUUACUGGGCGUAAAGGGCGCGUAGGCGGGGAGAUAAGUCGGGUGUGAAAUCCCUCGGCUCAACCGAGGAACUGCGCCCGAGACUGUCUUUCUUGAGUCCCGGAGAGGAAGGUGGAAUUCCCGGUGUAGCGGUGAAAUGUGUAGAGAUCGGGAGGAACACCGGUGGCGAAGGCGGCCUUCUGGACGGUGACUGACGCUGAGGCGCGAAAGCGUGGGGAGCAAACGGGAUUAGAUACCCCGGUAGUCCACGCUGUAAACUAUGGGUGCUAGGUGUGGGGGGUAUCGGACCCUCCCGUGCCGAAGCUAACGCAUUAAGCACCCGCCUGGGGAGUACGGCCGCAAGG
rnacentral:rRNA from 1 species